GGCGUUCGGCGUGCUGUCUCCAGUAUCGGUCUUGCCCAUCAAGAGUAGGUUUGUUCUGCUGAUCAAGAGCGUGGUGAGCAAGGCAUUAAGGAUGCCAGCAAAUUGUCUCUGAGUAAAUUAUUGGUGAAGUUUGUGGUAGUCGGCCAUGUCCUGGCAGCACCUGGGGACAAGGUAUCGGCAUCGGUGGUCUCGCCGGCUCCACAUUGUCCUAGAAUUAUUGGUGGAAGAAGCAUCAAUUUGUCCGAGCUUGACGCCGGAUCUUUAUUUGCUAUGUCCAUGCGCAGGCCACCUCUCUCGCUGCUGGUUUGCUGCCGCACUCCGUCUCUCCUCUCCUCGGUGCUCAACCCGAGGAGCGUGGGACAUUGUUGCACGCCCCUUUUCCGUCCUCUGGCUGAGGUACAAGCGCAGGCGGGUCUGGCAGAUGACGGCCAGGUUCUGGCUGAUUGUGGGGGUGGUUGUUCUGUGGGGGUCUUUGUUCUUAGCGACAGGGAGAGGAACACCAACCUGAACGCUACAAGUUUUGAUCAUGGUUGAGGGCCGCUCUGUCCGUGGUCACCGGGAGAGUCAUCUCCCUGGUUGUGCUCUUGCCUCAAAUCGACCAGCGGAUGUUAGACACAGUUUCCUGUGUUGGAUCUGACAAGGAGGUUUGGAUUGGCUCUCCUAUCUUCUACAUCUCCAUUUAUUUUCGGAAAUUGAUAUGGGUUAUCCUUAUGUAAUGAAACAAUUUAGAUUAAACAUAAACUAAGAGAUAGAUACAGACCAAAGUUAAGUUGUUUGCUUGAGUAAAUUAGGCAGCGGCAUGGCCUCUGCCUCCUUAUAGUGAGACACUAUGAAAUGGAAGGUAUAAGUAUCUGCUAAAUCUUUUAUAGUGGAUCCCUUUAUAUGUUAUGUAUCAACAAUGUUUCCUUUUGGCAAGGUUAAUAAUAAUUAUGUGCCCCGACAAAACUGAUUCAUCCUCAGUUGUCUGUGCUUCAAGUCUUCUUUGAAAAAUGCAAAAUUCUUGUGACUGGUGGUGGAUUGUGUGUUUAGGUUAUAUUGUGUAAAAUGUAAAAAUUGCAAAAUCUAACGUGUGUUUAGGUUAGACUAUGCUAAUUCAAUCAUAUUGGUAUUCUCUGGUGUUUCGCUAUGGCGGCUUGCGCCCCUUCAUAUUGUUGGGGCCAAUGCGAAUUGCAUAUGGUCAUACUGCAAUUAGUGUUGCAAUCUACUUUUAUUUUUGGCUUUUCACACUUCCUCACAAUUUUGUGACCAUCGGAGCAUUGCAUAUGGUGGCACUGCAAUCAAUUAUGCAGUCCACUUUAUU